rnacentral:rRNA from 1 species
GACGAACGCUGGCGGCGUGCCUAAUACAUGCAAGUCGAACGCAGUGGGGACGGGUGAGUAACACGUGGGUAACCUCCCAUCAGAGGGGAUAACACUUGGAAACAGGUGCUAAACCGAUACUGAUGGAUGGACCCGCGGUGCAUUAGCUAGUUGGUGAGGUAACGGCUCACCAAGGCCACGAUGCAUAGCGGGCCUGAGAGGGGGAUCGGCCACACUGGGACUGAGAAACGGCCCAGACGCCGACGGGAGGCAGCAGUGGGGAAUCUUCGGCAAUGGACGAAAGCCGGACGGAGAAAGGCCGCGGGGGUGAAGAAGGUUUUCGGAUCGUAAAACACUGUUGUUGGGGAAGCGGUAUCUAACCAGAAAGCCACGGCUAACUACGUGCCAGCAGCCGCGGUAAUAC